UUCUCCUCUGCCAUUCUUUCUUACUUCAAUUAAGAAGGAAAAGGCUCCAACUCUCCUGGUCCAGCGAUGUUCAUUAUCCUUUGUCCUUUUCUCAACCAAUUUUUCCAAUAUAUCUCUGAGCCAAGCACCGAUCUCUGUUGAGAAGAGAACCCAAAAACGUCUCCCCUCCUUGCUUUUUUCUUCAAGUCUCAAACCGUUCUUUUUUCCCAUCGUCACCUUAGAAAUCUCGAAUGUUUUUCAAUCAAUUUGCAUCAAUCUCAGGGAUCCACCAUUGCUGAGUUGACUCGGUAAGAAACGGGUUGCAGACCCUCUCUCUCCUCGCUCCUGAAAUGUUAGAAAGUUGUUCGCAGCUUAAGAACGAGGAGGAUGAAUUUUUAAAAGGCUGGAAGAAUAAACAGGGUGAGGAAGUAUAAAAUGCAGUUGCUCGUGUACUUGUGGAGCUUAAUGAGUUUAAUUUUAUGGAGUCCAAAUUUUGUUUUAUUUUCCAAAAUUUUUUAUCAACGAAACCAAUGUUGGUGAUACAAUAUUUUGUAUUUAAACAAGUUUCGGUUUCAUCUAAAUUUGGUUUAUUCUUUGAGUUCUUGGCGACGAAACCAUAAAAAUUUAGUGAUAUUUUUUUUUGUUG